UUAAAUUGAAGAGUUUGAUCAUGGCUCAGAUUGAACGCUGGCGGCAGGCCUAACACAUGCAAGUCGAACGGUAACAGAAAGCAGCUUGCUGCUUUGCUGACGAGUGGCGGACGGGUGAGUAAUGUCUGGGAAACUGCCUGAUGGAGGGGGAUAACUACUGGAAACGGUAGCUAAUACC
rnacentral:rRNA from 1 species